UAGAGGGGUAAAUGAAAUUUAAAGUUUAACUCUUUAUUAACAAAUGUCAUAAUUGAUGGACCUUUUCUUAAUUAGGUGGUAAAGUCCCUACAGCUGUUAAGAUUUUGCCCCAGUCUUUAAAAGGAUCCUAAAGGUUAGGACCCGAAGCUGAGGCUGUGUGAAGAAACAUACAGGUUCAGAAAUCUCUGGUAAUCCAAGAGCCCUUUUCUUCCCCCCAGCAAGAAGAAACCAAAAUCGGGGAAGUUCUUCCUUCCUGACUUCUUGCACAAAUUUAGUGUGGCAAAAAAAGAAAAAAAAAGAUGAACACAGCAGAUGUUGAGGAGAGUGUAGCUCAGUCAGUGAGUAGCACAACAAUAUCUGAGCUGAAUAAUAAAGAUACCCCUUCCCAACCUGCUACCUUGGAGAGAACACUUCAUGAGGAAGAAAAGUGUAAACAAGACAAUAUAAUGGAAUUUAGUUAUAGAAAAAGAAAAAAAAGAAAAACUGAGUUCUCUGACGACCAAUUGAAGAUCCUUGAAGAGCAUUUUAAUAGAAAUCCGUAUAUUGCCUAUGACCAAGCCAAGGUCUUGUCUGCUGAAGUGGGUUUGAGUCCUGUUCAGAUUAGGACCUGGUUUGGUAACCAAAGAUCAAGAAAGAGGAAAAUUAAGGGAUGGCUCAUAACAAGAAACGUUCGAGUAAGUAAACCUUUUGUUAACUGGGGAAAAUAUAAAAAGUUUCAUCAGUGAGGGAACCUCAUAAUAAUUCUUUUUCUCUCUCUUCCCCAGACGAAGCGUGUCCAAGAAAAAAUCCAUCCUCAUUCAAGUGAACGGAGUUCCCAAGCUUGUUCUAGUCCUACAUGCUUGGGUCCCUUUCAACCAAAUAUAGUGGAAAUUGAUGUUUGUAAUGAACAUAAAACUUUUAUUAACCUUUAAAUGCCAACUUUUCUUUUCCCAAUUUCCCAUUAUUCCAGUGGGACUGAAUUUUUGACCAUGUGCAAUUGAACUCAAUAUGAGACCUGUGUCUUAAAGAAAUGUCAUCUGGCUAAAUGUAACUAAAGGAAAUCUAUUUUAUACAAAGGCAUUUGUUGAUCUUAAUUUUUUUUUGGUUUUUUCAUUUGUCAAUUUUUAAAUUUAUUUGGGGAAUAAAAAUAAAAAUUAAUAAUUUGGUUUUGGUUUC
rnacentral:lncRNA from 1 species